GCUGAACGCUAGCUACAGGCUUAACACAUGCAAGUCGAGGGGAAACGACAUCGAAAGCUUGCUUUUGAUGGGCGUCGACCGGCGCACGGGUGAGUAACGCGUAUCCAACCUGCCCACCACUUGGGGAUAACCUUGCGAAAGUAAGACUAAUACCCAAUGAUAUCUCUAGAAGACAUCUGAAAGAGAUUAAAGAUUUAUCGGUGAUGGAUGGGGAUGCGUCUGAUUAGCUUGUUGGCGGGGUAACGGCCCACCAAGGCAACGAUCAGUAGGGGUUCUGAGAGGAAGGUCCCCCACAUUGGAACUGAGACACGGUCCAAACUCCUACGGGAGGCAGCAGUGAGGAAUAUUGAUCAAUGGACGAGAGUCUGAACCAGCCAAGUAGCGUGCAGGAAGACGGCCCUAUGGGUUGUAAACUGCUUUUAUAAGGGAAUAAAGUGAGUCUCGUGAGACUUUUUGCAUGUACCUUAUGAAUAAGGACCGGCUAAUUCCGUG
rnacentral:rRNA from 1 species